CAACUUUCAACAACGGAUCUCUUGGCUCUCGCAUCGAUGAAGAACGCAGCGAAAUGCGAUACGUAAUGUGAAUUGCAGAAUUCAGCGAAUCAUCCAAUCUUUGAACGCACCUUGCGCCCCUUGGGAUUCCGAGGGGCACACCCGUUUGAGAGUGAUGA
rnacentral:rRNA from 1 species